rnacentral:rRNA from 1 species
GAUGAACACUGGCGGCGUGCUUAACACAUGCAAGUCGAACGAUUAAAGCCCCCUUCGGGGGGUGUAUAGAGUGGCGAACGGGUGAGUAACACGUGGGCAACCUGCCCUCCGCUCCGGGAUAACUCAGGGAAACUUGAGCUAAUACCGGAUACUCCGAUCGGGUCGCAUGGCCUGAUCGGGAAAGUGCCGGCGGCGGAGGAUGGGCCCGCGGCCCAUUAGCUUGUUGGUGAGGUAACGGCUCACCAAGGCUGCGAUGGGUAGCCGAGCUGAGAGGCUGAUCGGCCACACUGGGACUGAGACACGGCCCAGACUCCUACGGGAGGCAGCAGUGGGGAAUCUUGCGCAAUGGGCGAAAGCCUGACGCAGCAACGCCGCGUGCGGGAUGAAGGCCUUCGGGUCGUAAACCGCUUUCAGCAGGGAUGAAACUGACAGUACCUGCAGAAGAAGCCCCGGCUAACUACGUGCCAGCCGCCGCGGUAACAC